AUUGAACGCUGGCGGCAUGCCUUACACAUGCAAGUCGAACGGCAGCGGACCUUCCGGUGCCGGCGAGUGGCGAACGGGUGAGUAAAGUAUCGGAACGUACCUUUCAGUGGGGGAUAACGUAGCGAAAGUUACGCUAAUACCGCAUAUUCCGUGAGCAGGAAAGCAGGGGAUCGCAAGACCUUGCGCUGAUUGAGCGGCCGAUAUCAGAUUAGCUAGUUGGUGAGGUAAAGGCUCACCAAGGCGACGAUCUGCCGCGGGUCUGAGAGGAUGAUCCGCCACACUGGAACUGAGACACGGUCCAGACUCCUACGGGAGGCAGCAGUGGGGAAUUUUGGACAAUGGGGGCAACCCUGAUCCAGCCAUGCCGCGUGAGUGAAGAAGGCCUUCGGGUUGUAAAGCUCUUUCGGCCGGGAAGAAAUCGCGCAGGUUAAUACCCUGUGUGGAUGACGGUACCGGAAUAAGAAGCACCGGCUAACUACGUGCCAGCAGCCGCCGUAACAC
rnacentral:rRNA from 1 species